rnacentral:sRNA from 12 species
UAAUAUCGCAGGUAGAAAUACGCUGUACACUCGUGCAAUCGAAUUAACGUUUAAGCGGCAUAAUCUGUCGCCGACCACGAG